rnacentral:rRNA from 1 species
UACGGGGGGAGCAAGCGUUGUUCGGAUUUACUGGGCGUAAAGGGCGCGUAGGCGGCCACCGCAAGUCGACUGUGAAAUCUCCGGGCUUAACCCGGAAAGGUCAGCCGAUACUGCGGGGCUAGAGUGCAGAAGGGGCAACUGGAAUUCUCGGUGUAGCGGUGAAAUGCGUAGAUAUCUGGAGGAAUACCGGUGGCGAAGGCGGCAUCCUGGACCGACAUUGACGCUGAGGAGCGAAAGCCAGGGGAGCAAACGGG